rnacentral:rRNA from 1 species
GACGAACGCUGGCGGCGUGCUUAACACAUGCAAGUCGAACGCUGAAGCUCAGCUUGCUGGGUGGAUGAGUGGCGAACGGGUGAGUAACACGUGAGUAACCUGCCCUCUUCUUUGGGAUAACGCCCGGAAACGGGUGCUAAUACUGGAUAUUCACUGAUUCUCGCAUGGGGGUUGGUGGAAAGGUUUUUUCUGGUGGGGGAUGGGCUCGCGGCCUAUCAGCUUGUUGGUGGGGUGAUGGCCUACCAAGGCUUUGACGGGUAGCCGGCCUGAGAGGGUGACCGGUCACAUUGGGACUGAGAUACGGGCCAGACUCCUACGGGAGGCAGCAGUGGGGAAGAUUGCACAAUGGGCGAAAGCCUGAUGCAGCGACGCCGCGUGAGGGAUGGAGGCCUUCGGGUUGUAAACCUCUUUCGCUCAUGGUCAAGCCGCAGCUUUGGGUUGUGGUGAGGGUAGUGGGUAAAGAAGCGCCGGCUAACUACGUG